rnacentral:rRNA from 1 species
UACGAACUGUGCGAACGUUAUUCGGAAUCACUGGGCUUACAGGGUGCGUAGGCGGCUCAACAAGUCAGGUGUGAAAGCCCCCGGCUCAACCGGGGAACUGCGCUUGAAACUGUUAGGCUCGAGUCAGCUAGAGGUACACGGAACUUCCAGUUGGAGCGGUGAAAUGCGCAGAUAUCAGGAGGAACACCGGUGGCGAAGGCGGUUCUCUGGGCAUGAUCUGACGCUGAGGAGCGAAAGUGUGGGAGGCGAACAGG